CUUUUUUACUUCGUUUGGAGAGUUUGUUUAACACAUAUCUGACAACAUAUAUGGCUUGCUGUGCGGUUAACAGACCAUCCAAGAAGUUGAUGCUUCAGCUCACUUUUCGACCCCGCACUAAAAGUCCAUGUUCUCCUGGAUCCAUGUCACAUGUUCAAGCUUCCUCAGAAUGACUUUUCAACAGUCGAAGUUCUGGUGAGAGAAGAUGGCCAGCAGAUAAGACGGCAGUACAUCAACGAGCUCCACCGGCUUCAGGAGGAGGAGGAGGAGGGUUUGCACUUUGGAAGACUGUAUUCAUGCUUCAGCUGUUCAAAUAAAAAUAGAUCUCCUCCAAACAA